UCAUCUGACAUGAAGAACUGUUUUGUGUUUUUUGGCCUCAGAUUAUUUGUUUAUAUCUAAAGAGGGAGCAGGUCCUCCAGAUCCGGGGAUGUUCAGGUGGUUGCAUUCUGCCACAAAAUCUCACACCCUGGUCUGGUCUGAUUGUUCAAACACAGACAAUAUCAGACUGCCCCGAUAUUAAUCCAAUAAAAUCAUGUUAGUCCUGUUUGCUGAUGCACUACUGGCUUCAUGUUGAGUCAGGUACCUGUACCCUGGUAUCUGUUCCACAACAACAAUCUAUAAUUUCUUCCCAAUUUUUAUACAUUUUGUGUGAUUUCAGAAGAAAUGCAGCUGCUCAUCUGUCAAUCUCGCAGCCGCUCAUUAAAAACACUGCUCCUGCUCUUUCAUGCGAAGAAGCUCUUUACUGGAAUAAAUCCACUGCUACCAAAGUCAGCUGACAACCAUCUGUGUGAUAUCAGUCAUCUUGGAUCAUCACUGUUGGGUUUAGCGGAGCCAGAUAACUCAAAACGCAGCCCGACUGUGACAGCCUGUCGGGCCUCUGGCAGUAUCAGUCCCACACCGGUGGAACAACACAACACUAUGAACAACAAUUUAUCAAACGCCGCUACAGCACAGAUAUUUUAUUCACAUUUACAGCUUUGUCUUCCCGUCCCACCACCUGUUUUCUACAUGUUUCCCCCCCAACCUCGCUCAACAGAUUGAGUAGUUACAUUUUCUGCGCGCCAGAUGUUAAACUGGCAUCUAAUAGUGCUCUAAAAAAUAAAUGUCAGAAGCCGUAGACCUAUUGCUCCAUUAAAGAUCCGAUAUGCCUCAUGUGUGGCGUGACAAGUCGAUUGGAUGUCGUUUCGUUUAACGAGUGACCUUUGAUCGACACAUUCGAAUCUGUAAAUAUGUGCUCAUGUAAAUAUGUGGAUGCAGGAGCACCAUCUCCACAAACCACCACCUCUCUCUGUCUCUGCCUCCAGCUCUCUCUAAUGAUUCUGCGAAGGUGCUAAGUGUGAUUUGUCAUUUUACAGAUGCAGCGUUCUCGCCUUAAGGACUGCAGGAGUGCCUACACAAGUUCUUACACUCACACACACACACGACAACCGAACACACACAUAACACACAUCUCCAUCAUCAUCCCCGGCCUCCACACGUCGUGCCGAGGGGAGUCUGACCGGGUGUCUUGUCUGACUGUGUACAAGCACACACACACACACACACUCUUGAUCUCUCUCUCUCUGGGGCAACCAUGACAAGAAAAGUCUGCUGCUUGUUAGAUGGAUGGCAGUGACCCUGAAGGAGGAGGAGGAGGAGGAGGAGGCAACUUGAGGAAAGAAAGAAAGUGAGACACACGGCAAGAGAGAAAUGAAAAGUGGAAAGAAGACACACAAAAUACAGAAAAGAGACAGAGAGGGUAGAUGAAGUUUACCAUUUUCAAUUUGAGAACAAGAUAGUGGGAAUCCGAGUGGGAGGGCAGAGAGAGGAUAUGACACACUACCAUCCACAAAUGUAUGAUUGUCAGGGCGACUGUUUCGGCAGCUCAGAUCACCACCUCUGUCUGUACUUCAGCAGCUCGCGGGCCACAAAUAAAAAAAGAAGUGGCUGACUUCAGCAGUAUCCUGCGGAGAUUAUUAUUUCCAAAUACAGUGAAUAUGAAAUAGGGCACAACCCCCAUAUAUAGAACCUCUGCAGAACUUUGCAUUUUUGCUAAGUUGUGACUUUGCAUUCUUGUAAAAACUCACUGAAAGAUGUUAGUUAAAGUGUAAAUAGUAAUAUUUCAGUUUGUACUUUUGACUGCUGCAUGUAGCCGGAGUGGAAGAUGGCUUUGGUGAGGUUUGUUUUUGGUUUUUUUUUCAUUGACACGAAUGCUUCGAUGCUUUGAAGUUGUUGCCAUGGUAAUCGAGGUCCAAGUCUGCAUUGGAGAGCUUCAAUAGUUGUGUGAAUGGAAGUGUGUGGGAACAACAACUGUCCAACUUUGCUGUGGUUGAAGAGCUUUGACAGGACAUCUUUCUGGAACAUCCAUUUUGCUCUUUUCAAAGUGGCAACUGUUCUGGUGUUUGUGUCACCUUCUGUCUGAGCUGUACUCCAAUGAAUCAAAACAAUGAGAGACAAAAAAUAAAAAUAUAUAGAUCUGAUGCACCACAAGAACCGGAUCAGUUUUUUUGUUGCCCUUGAAGAGAAAUAAAUAGAAAAUAAUGACAUGAAAGUCUUGCAAAAUGGGAGAUUAUAGGUAUACAUUUGAAUCAUAAUGGACUAUUCACAGUUUAAAGGAACAUAUUAGUUUAUCUACUCACCCUCAUGUCCACUGAAAGUCCAGUGAAUAUUUGUGUCCCACGAUUUGUGUUCUCCUGAACCAUUUCUGCGUCUUCACUGUAGCUGAUCUGAAGUGGGUUUGCGAGCUUGACUGCAUGAGAAGAUUUUAAUUAAUGUCUUUUCAAAUCAAUUUGGAAUCUCGGGGCUUCCGGGGACUUGAUUCAUGCCAAACAAGCUGUAUAGAGCCAUCUCAGGUUUGUCGUCGUUUCUCCCACAUUUUCACAAAGCUUCAUUUCUCUGCGUCCUGCUCCUUUAACUGAGUUCACCCACACGUUUAAAUUAAGUCUUGAAUUUGUUUCUUCAUACCCGCCUGCUGUCAGUGUGAAUUCCUAGAAUUUAAUAUGCCAUCCUGUGGGUUUUUAUAUUUAACACUUGAUUGACAGGCAGCCUAAUUAGCAUCAAGUGCUUGAAAUGCUGCCAUCCUGUCCUGUUUUAAAAAAAAAAAGAAAAGAAAAAAGCAUAAUUUAGGAGGAAAGAAGAUCCGUGUUACAGCAUUGUCACGCAUGUAUGUAUUUAAAAAGGUGAGUAAUCAGUGUUUACAUCUGUUUAUCCUCCACUGCACAUCAGCUUAAACACUGUUAUUGGUUUAAUUGUAAUGUACACGGGAGUUAAUACUAACGUUCACCGUGAUGUUUGCGAUGGGAUGGCACAGAAUGCACAUGAGACGAGGAGGGAGCUGGUGGAAUGAUUAGUAGAUCAGAUGAGGUGGAAGAAUUCUCUGAAAUGAAAUAUGGGUGGAAUAAGAAGAAGGAGAGAGAAGAGCACUCCGGGAGAAUUAUAAUGUUGAAAUGAAUUAAUGCCUGGCUGGAUGAAUGAAUCACCAACCCGUCAGAGAGUAGGGGGGAACGGAUGUGGAAAAUAAGGAAGAGGGGGGGAAAAAAGGAGGAGGAGAAAAGAUGAGAGACAAUAAAAUAAGAAGGAGAGAGGUGAGAAAGUAAAGGGAAGAAGAGGGAGUGUGAGAGAUGAGAUGGAGAAUUAAAAGAAAACAUUGACAAAAAGGCCAAAAAGUGAGAUUUAAUCCAGUAGUGUAACUGGAAAACAUGUUUAAAUAAUCAGCAGACAUCCACGACAGAAGAAGUCAUCCACAGUGUUCAAGAUGUUUUUAUCCUGGUCUCUGACUAAACUCCCACUGCAUGAACCCAACGAGAUGAUGGCUCCCGUCAAUGAAACAGCCAAGAACUGCAGAAGAAAGACCCUGUUGCCCGAGACACCUGAUAUGAGGCUUUCUUUGUGGAACAUCGGUGAUGAAUAACAAGGUUUAAAGUUCAACUGGCAAGUUGCUUCAAAUUGUCAUUCUGAAAUAAAUGCUAGUUGGAAACUGUGAUGGCUGUAGAAAAAUCACAUCCAUUUACAUGCUUAUAAAUUGGCUCUAUGAACCUUGUUUUAACUGACCGGAUUCUUCCCAUUAAAGGGAAGGUCACUUUAUGGCGCAAAGGAAGUGUGUCUGCCAUUGCACAACCAAAACAGGAAGAGGUCAAGUUUUGCCUGGUUGCCAUCCCAAGAUAGCACUGGAACAGCUGUCGAUACUGUAAACAUGUUCUCGAUUCCAACUCGUCAAAUUCAGCAGAAAAUAUUAAAGAAUGGCUUCAAGGUGAAAGGAGGCAGACGGGGACACAGACAGGGAGGAAGGGGACAGUUGUCUCUCGAGAUCUCUAAAAUGCCAUCAGACAUCAUAAAUCUGAAAUAAAGGAAGAAAGUGAAAAGUGAGAUCCUUUUUUAUGUUCUACUUUUGGGAAAACCAAAGGUUUGGGAGAAGUUUUACAAGCCUGCAGCAUUGAAAAACCUCCCUCCAGCCCCCAAAAUGUUGUGACUGAGGAAGUGAGAUAAGCAUGGAGCCCUGUUUUGACCUCUGAUAGAUAACAACACAAAGCGAAACAGAAGAUAUCAAGCAAUGCACCUGAGACAGAGACAUGGAAACAGAGAGGAAAUCAUGAGGCGGGGAAGAGGAAAAGCGAGGGAUGAAAAGGAGAGUCUGGGAUGUAACGAAAGGUCACCUGUGUGACAGCGUGAAGUAAAUGAAAAGAGACAAUGUAAAGUGGUAAAGGGGGAAGGAGUCAUGAGAUCGAGGACCAUGGAAAUGAAAGAAAAUGAAAGGGGAAAGAAAAGAUGACCAGUGUGACGAGAGGCGGCGUCAGAGAGAGCUGAGAGAGGUCUGCUGAACAGCGCGGCGCUCAGUCCACCGGGGCAAACGCCCGGCUUGUGUCACAUGUCUUUGGCAUUACAGCGAUUUGGACGGCGAUUCUGACACGACAACAUGGGAUACGCAAAUAAACCGAGAGCCCACAUGCCGAGGCUGCAGGGCCAGCUGAGAAGAGAAAAACAAAAACUGAAGCAGAGGACGGGUGCCGAAGAAUGAGAAGAGGACGAUACAAAAGGAACAGAAUGAGGCAAAUGAAAACUACAGUGGCUUUAAAUAUUG